AGCAAUAGUUAAAAUGGCGUAAACUUUCGAACCGUGUCAGGGAGGAAACUCAGCAGCACUAAGAUUGAUCUUACGGGUGUUUUAAUUAUUGAAGGA
rnacentral:SRP_RNA from 5 species